rnacentral:tmRNA from 1 species
GGGGCUGAUAUUGGAUUCGACAAAAUAUUCAAAAAACUAUUAGUGCAUGCCGAGGAACGGUGGCCUCGAUAAAAACCGUAAUUUUAAUAAAUGCAAAAAAACAAAACUACGCUUUAGCAGCUUAAUAAACUAAUAAAGCCCUUUUUUAUUCUUAAAACUCUUAAAGAAUAAUAUAUAAAGGUUAUAAUAGAGAAUCUCAUAUUCAUGACGCUCAUCAUGAAUAUGAAUCAUAAUUAAAAACAUGAGAUAUGUGUUUAAUAUAGUUUUGUCUUUAAAACUAAAACACUAAGAAGUAUCAUAAAAGACUAAGCAUGUAGUACUAAAGUUAUAUAGAUAUUUUGGACGCGGGUUCAAAUCCCGCCAGCUCCAUAA